UGAGUGAGGAAGGGUAGACAACCACCUGCUUUACAAGAAAACAGAGACUGUAGCCACGUUUUGUGUGAAACUCCAUCUUCUAUGGAUCAUUGCUGCCAAUAUGCUCCACAAUCAGAGGAGGAGAAAGGAACAGCUGCAAGGUGGAAUGGGCCCCUCAACGGAAUGAUGCACUAAAGAGGUCCCAUGGAUACAAAAUCAGGGUUUUUGCAACAUAGAGUGAAGGCCACACUGAUCUGAAAACACCAAAGACUGUUAUUAAAACGCACGUGCACAUACGGAUAUGUACACUGAUACUAAUCAGCUUCCAAAGAUGGCAGUAAAAGAUCAGCUCCAACAGUGGACAGAUGUUUCCUGCUUCAGUGCUACACAUAUUGCAGCAUAUGUACCAGAAUAUGCAGGAACAAGUGAUACAAGACUCCCCACCUUUUACCAAUCACUGUCUGCAAACAUUAUGAUGAAAAUUUGUAGCCAUUUUCCCAUCUUAGAGUGUUCUUCAUGAUAGUUAGCAUAGCAGAGAUAUUAUGGAGGCACUGGAUGCAUCGGUCUAAUACUUUUAAGAAACAAACUUUGCAGAAUGUUAUUGAUUAAAAUGCUCUUGAUGAAAUGAUGACAAUACCACCUCUUUUUUUUUUUUUUUAUCUUAAGGACAAAAAAAAAAAA
rnacentral:lncRNA from 1 species